CUGGCUCAGGAUGAACGCUAGCGGCAGGCCUAAUACAUGCAAGUCGAACGGGAUGGGGGUCCUUCGGGACCCCUGAGAGUGGCGCACGGGUGCGCAACGCGUAUGCAACAACCCCCGACAGGCGGAUAGCCGGUGGAAACGCCGGAUAAUACGCCAUGGUUCCCUGACAGGGCAUCCUGUCAUGGAUAAAGCUACGGCGGUCGGGGACGGGCAUGCGUCCCAUUAGAUGGUAGGCGGGGUGACGGCCCACCUAGUCUACGAUGGGUAGGGGAUCUGAGAGGACGGUCCCCCACACUGGUACUGAGACACGGACCAGACUCCUGCGGGAGGCAGCAGUAAGGGAUAUUGGUCAAUGGUCGGAAGACUGAACCAGCCAUUGCCGCGUGAGGGAAUGAGGCCCUACGGGUCGUGAACCUCUUUUAUUCGGGGACAAGGACGCGGUCGCGAACCGUGUUUGAGGGUACCGAAGGAAUAAGCAUCGGCUAACUCCGUGCCAGCAGCCGC
rnacentral:rRNA from 1 species